rnacentral:rRNA from 1 species
GAUGAACGCUAGCUACAGGCUUAACACAUGCAAGUCGAGGGGUAACGAGAGGAAAGCUUGCUUUCCUUGUCGACGACCGGCGCACGGGUGAGUAACGCGUAUCCAACCUGCCCCCAACUAGGGAAUAACCUUGCGAAAGUAAGACUAAUACCCUAUAAUUUCCUCAGAUGUCAUCUGACGAGGAAUAAAGAUUUAUCGGUUGUGGAUGGGGAUGCGUCUGAUUAGCUUGUUGGCGGGGUAACGGCCCACCAAGGCAACGAUCAGUAGGGGUUCUGAGAGAAAGGUCCCCCACAUUGGAACGGAGACACGGUCCAAACUCCUACGGGAGGCAGCAGUGAGGAAUAUUGGUCAAUGGGCGGAAGCCUGAACCAGCCAAGUAGCGUGCAGGAUGACGGCCCUAUGGGUUGUAAACUGCUUUUAUACAGGAAUAAAGUUAGCCACGUGUGGUUAUUUGUAGGUACUGUAUGAAUAAGGACCGGCUAAUUCCGUGCCAGCAGCCGCCGUAACAC